CGGACGGGUGAGUAACACGUGGAUAACCUACCUAUAAGACUGGGAUAACUUCGGGAAACCGGAGCUAAUACCGGAUAAUAUUUUGAACCGCAUGGUUCAAAAGUGAAAGACGGUCUUGCUGUCACUUAUAGAUGGAUCCGCGCUGCAUUAGCUAGUUGGUAAGGUAACGGCUUACCAAGGCAACGAUGCAUAGCCGACCUGAGAGGGUGAUCGGUCACACUGGAACUGAGACACGGUCCAG
rnacentral:rRNA from 1 species